GAUGAAGAACGUAGCGAAAUGCGAUAAGUAAUGUGAAUUGCAGAAUUCAGUGAAUCAUCGAAUCUUUGAACGCACCUUGCACCCUUUGGCAUUCCGAAGGGUAUGCUCGUUUGAGUGUCAUUGUACUCUCACACUCUCCGAUCCUAUGGAUUCGGGGAGCGGUGGACUUGGGUGUUGCUGCCUUUCCCUGUGGCUCACCUCAAAUGCGUCAGUGCACCUCUUGGUUGGACAUAGUACGGCGUGAUAAGUGUCUUCGCCGGCGCCUCGCAAGAGGGUGGCCGAUCGGGAGCUCUGCGCUUUCAAACCGUCUUCGGACAAUUUCUGACAUCUUGACCUCAAAUCGAGUAGGACUACCCGCUGAACUUAAGCAUAUCAAUAAGCGGAGGA
rnacentral:misc_RNA from 1 species